rnacentral:rRNA from 1 species
GAUGAACGCUGGCGGCGUGCCUAAUACAUGCAAGUCGAGCGAACAGACGAGGAGCUUGCUCCUCUGACGUUAGCGGCGGACGGGUGAGUAACACGUGGAUAACCUACCUAUAAGACUGGGAUAACUUCGGGAAACCGGAGCUAAUACCGGAUAAUAUAUUGAACCGCAUGGUUCAAUAGUGAAAGACGGUUUUGCUGUCACUUAUAGAUGGAUCCGCGCCGCAUUAGCUAGUUGGUAAGGUAACGGCUUACCAAGGCAACGAUGCGUAGCCGACCUGAGAGGGUGAUCGGCCACACUGGAACUGAGACACGGUCCAGACUCCUACGGGAGGCAGCAGUAGGGAAUCUUCCGCAAUGGGCGAAAGCCUGACGGAGCAACGCCGCGUGAGUGAUGAAGGUCUUCGGAUCGUAAAACUCUGUUAUUAGGGAAGAACAAAUGUGUAAGUAACUAUGCACGUCUUGACGGUACCUAAUCAGAAAGCCACGGCUAAC